AAAAGCCCGCGUGGUAAUGUGGAGGACUUUCUACCCGGAGCGUGUUUCAAGGUUUUCCACCGCUUUGCUGUGUUUAGGUGCAACUCGCUCCCUUACAGGCAGAAACACGCGUUUUAAGGCUUUGUGCAACUGCGUCCAUUUCCUGCACGCGCACAGCUCUACUUUGCAGCCCAGAAGCCCGCUGGGGAGGAAGGGCCACCUCCCGGCAGCGAGCUGCCCGCAGCACGGCCCAGCGGGGGCCAGGGACAGCGCGCGGCACGAGUCGGGACCCGGCUGGGCGACAAGGGGUGGUGGUGGGGGGGCACGCUUGGCCGGAGCGCGGUGCUGGCGAGCCGGCAGGGUGGUGGCACCGCCAGGGCCAUAAAAAGGGUGGUGACGCGGGCAGGGGACGGGGACCGUUGCCGGGGCAAAGGCCGGCUGCCGACGUCUGCCUGCAUCAGCGCGCCCCGUGCCGGGGUGCUGGGAGCCAGGGCGAGGAGAGCGGCGGUGCGGUGAGUGCCUCGUGCCGGGGGGGGGGGGAACGGGGAGAUGCCUUCGCCGUGGGCACGGUGGACGGCGAGGCGAUAGCGAGGAAGGCAGAGGGAUGGGGGAUUCAUGCCUUCCCCGCUCCAGGCGCAGGGGAAACCUGGGGCGGCGCGCAGGGCUCGGGGCUCGCUCCCGGAAGAGCUCUGCUCAGCGGAGCAGCCGUCCCGAGCAGCCCCGAGCCCUGGUGCCACCGCCGGGACUCCCCUUGCCUCUGGCAGCAUCUCCGUGGGCUGGGAGAGCUGGAGGGACGGCCAGCGCGCCGGUCCCUGCGCCCCCCCGCCCUGCGAAACCCUUUGCUGCUAUCGGCUCGUCUCGGAGCAGCCCGCAGGUCGGUGCCGCCUCGAAGCGCUUAUUUACGGCAUCCACAACAGCCGCUGCAGCUGCAAACUGGCCUCGAAGGCAGGACCAGCGCCUCUCCCUCCGUGUCGGCUGGGUUUGCUCGGAAAGGUCUGGCUUUCCCCUCCUCGGGCUGGGGGCUGAAAGCUCCUCCGGGAGCUGUCGAUGUUCCCCAGGGAGCAGAUCCCUGUGCCGGCUCCCGCAAGCAGACCUAG
rnacentral:lncRNA from 1 species